rnacentral:lncRNA from 1 species
CUUAGACAGGGAACCGGUGGCCAGACCCAAUACUGGCCGUUUUCAGCAGCUGACAUUUACAAUUGGAAACAACACAACCCUUCUUUCUCCAAAGAUCCGGUGGCACUCACCGACCUAAUAGAAUCUGUUUUACUUACCCACCAGCCUACUUGGGAUGACUGCCAACAGCUCUUACAGGCCCUCUUAACCUCAGAAAAAAAAAAAACAAGGAGUGUUCCUAGAGGCCAGAAAGCAUGUUCUGGGAGAUGAUGGGCGUCCCACCCAGCUGCCUGAGGACCAAACUGGGAUUUUAAUACAGCUGAAGGUAAGGGACACCUACGCCUUUAUCGCCAGUUGCUUCUAGCGGGUCUCCAAGGGGCUAUACGACGCCCUACUAAUUUGGCUCAGGUAAAACAGGUAUUACAGGAAGCAGGGGAAACUCCCUCCGCCUUUCUAGAGAGACUUAAGGAGGCCUACCGUAUGUAUACUCCCUAUGACCCAGAUGACCCAGGACAAAUGACGAGUGUCUCUAUGUCCUUCAUCUGGCAGGCUGCUCCAGAUAUCAGGACUAAGUUACAGAGGUUAGAAAAUUUACAGGGCUAUACAUUACAGGAUUUACUUAAAGAAGCUAAAAAGAUUUUUAAUAAAAAAGAGAU